rnacentral:rRNA from 1 species
GGUUAAGCGACUAAGCGUACACGGUGGAUGCCCUGGCAGUCAGAGGCGAUGAAGGACGUGCUAAUCUGCGAUAAGCGUCGGUAAGGUGAUAUGAACCGUUAUAACCGGCGAUUUCCGAAUGGGGAAACCCAGUGUGAUUCGUCACACUAUCAUUAACUGAAUCCAUAGGUUAAUGAGGCGAACCGGGGGAACUGAAACAUCUAAGUACCCCGAGGAAAAGAAAUCAACCGAGAUUCCCCCAGUAGCGGCGAGCGAACGGGGAGCAGCCCAGAGCCUGAAUCAGUGUGUGUGUUAGUGGAAGCGUCUGGAAAGGCGCGCGAUACAGGGUGACAGCCCCGUACACAAAAAUGCACAUGCUGUGAGCUCGAUGAGUAGGGCGGGACACGUGGUAUCCUGUCUGAAUAUGGGGGGACCAUCCUCCAAGGCUAAAUACUCCUGACUGACCGAUAGUGAACCAGUACCGUGAGGGAAAGGCGAAAAGAACCCCGGCGAGGGGAGUGAAAAAGAACCUGAAACCGUGUACGUACAAGCAGUGGGAGCACGCUUCGGCGUGUGACUGCGUACCUUUUGUAUAAUGGGUCAGCGACUUAUAUUCUGUAGCAAGGUUAACCGAAUAGGGGAGCCGAAGGGAAACCGAGUCUUAACUGGGCGUUAAGUUGCAGGGUAUAGACCCGAAACCCGGUGAUCUAGCCAUGGGCAGGUUGAAGGUUGGGUAACACUAACUGGAGGACCGAACCGACUAAUGUUGAAAAAUUAGCGGAUGACUUGUGGCUGGGGGUGAAAGGCCAAUCAAACCGGGAGAUAGCUGGUUCUCCCCGAAAGCUAUUUAGGUAGCGCCUCGUGAAUUCAUCUCCGGGGGUAGAGCACUGUUUCGGCAAGGGGGUCAUCCCGACUUACCAACCCGAUGCAAACUGCGAAUACCGGAGAAUGUUAUCACGGGAGACACACGGCGGGUGCUAACGUCCGUCGUGAAGAGGGAAACAACCCAGACCGCCAGCUAAGGUCCCAAAGUCAUGGUUAAGUGGGAAACGAUGUGGGAAGGCCCAGACAGCCAGGAUGUUGGCUUAGAAGCAGCCAUCAUUUAAAGAAAGCGUAAUAGCUCACUGGUCGAGUCGGCCUGCGCGGAAGAUGUAACGGGGCUAAACCAUGCACCGAAGCUGCGGCAGCGACGCUUAUGCGUUGUUGGGUAGGGGAGCGUUCUGUAAGCCUGUGAAGGUGUGCUGUGAGGCAUGCUGGAGGUAUCAGAAGUGCGAAUGCUGACAUAAGUAACGAUAAAGCGGGUGAAAAGCCCGCUCGCCGGAAGACCAAGGGUUCCUGUCCAACGUUAAUCGGGGCAGGGUGAGUCGACCCCUAAGGCGAGGCCGAAAGGCGUAGUCGAUGGGAAACAGGUUAAUAUUCCUGUACUUGGUGUUACUGCGAAGGGGGGACGGAGAAGGCUAUGUUGGCCGGGCGACGGUUGUCCCGGUUUAAGCGUGUAGGCUGGUUUUCCAGGCAAAUCCGGAAAAUCAAGGCUGAGGCGUGAUGACGAGGCACUACGGUGCUGAAGCAACAAAUGCCCUGCUUCCAGGAAAAGCCUCUAAGCAUCAGGUAACAUCAAAUCGUACCCCAAACCGACACAGGUGGUCAGGUAGAGAAUACCAAGGCGCUUGAGAGAACUCGGGUGAAGGAACUAGGCAAAAUGGUGCCGUAACUUCGGGAGAAGGCACGCUGAUAUGUAGGUGAAGUCCCUCGCGGAUGGAGCUGAAAUCAGUCGAAGAUACCAGCUGGCUGCAACUGUUUAUUAAAAACACAGCACUGUGCAAACACGAAAGUGGACGUAUACGGUGUGACGCCUGCCCGGUGCCGGAAGGUUAAUUGAUGGGGUUAGCGGUAACGCGAAGCUCUUGAUCGAAGCCCCGGUAAACGGCGGCCGUAACUAUAACGGUCCUAAGGUAGCGAAAUUCCUUGUCGGGUAAGUUCCGACCUGCACGAAUGGCGUAAUGAUGGCCAGGCUGUCUCCACCCGAGACUCAGUGAAAUUGAACUCGCUGUGAAGAUGCAGUGUACCCGCGGCAAGACGGAAAGACCCCGUGAACCUUUACUAUAGCUUGACACUGAACAUUGAGCCUUGAUGUGUAGGAUAGGUGGGAGGCUUUGAAGUGUGGACGCCAGUCUGCAUGGAGCCGACCUUGAAAUACCACCCUUUAAUGUUUGAUGUUCUAACGUUGACCCGUAAUCCGGGUUGCGGACAGUGUCUGGUGGGUAGUUUGACUGGGGCGGUCUCCUCCUAAAGAGUAACGGAGGAGCACGAAGGUUGGCUAAUCCUGGUCGGACAUCAGGAGGUUAGUGCAAUGGCAUAAGCCAGCUUGACUGCGAGCGUGACGGCGCGAGCAGGUGCGAAAGCAGGUCAUAGUGAUCCGGUGGUUCUGAAUGGAAGGGCCAUCGCUCAACGGAUAAAAGGUACUCCGGGGAUAACAGGCUGAUACCGCCCAAGAGUUCAUAUCGACGGCGGUGUUUGGCACCUCGAUGUCGGCUCAUCACAUCCUGGGGCUGAAGUAGGUCCCAAGGGUAUGGCUGUUCGCCAUUUAAAGUGGUACGCGAGCUGGGUUUAGAACGUCGUGAGACAGUUCGGUCCCUAUCUGCCGUGGGCGCUGGAGAACUGAGGGGGGCUGCUCCUAGUACGAGAGGACCGGAGUGGACGCAUCACUGGUGUUCGGGUUGUCAUGCCAAUGGCACUGCCCGGUAGCUAAAUGCGGAAGAGAUAAGUGCUGAAAGCAUCUAAGCACGAAACUUGCCCCGAGAUGAGUUCUCCCUGACUCCUUGAGAGUCCUGAAGGAACGUUGAAGACGACGACGUUGAUAGGCCGGGUGUGUAAGCGCAGCGAUGCGUUGAGCUAACCGGUACUAAUGAACCGUGAGGCUUAACCUU